UAAAACAAAUAUUUGUCUAACUAUUCACAACUCACCAAACGCGUCUUUGUGUAGAUAAGCUGAUAAGGUGAAAUCAAGGGCAAAGCCCUCUCCUCAGAAACAAAACGCUAAUUCCUGUUUGGAUCUCUCUCUCUCUCUCUCUCUCUCUCUCUCUCUCUCUCUCUCUCUCUCUCUCUCUCUCUCUCUCUCUCUCUCUCUCUCUCUCUCUCUCUCUCUCUCUCGUCCUCCUUCUCCUUCCUGUAUCUCUCGAUCUCUCAAUCAUGAACAAGGUAGUAGAUCCAAAAUCCAUGCAGAUCCCCCACUAUCGAUUUUGGAUCUGCUCCGAUGGUGAAGUUUCUGCUGGAGCAUCUGGAGAAAUCGAUUUUCGAUCUGCUCCGACGGUGAAGUUUCUGCUGGAGCAUCAGUCUUAAUCGAGUUUGGAUUUGCUCCGAUGGUGAAGUUUAUGCUGGAGCAUCUGGAGAAAUCUGGGUGUGGGAUAUUAGACGGGUCUUGCUGGGCCGUUCAUUGCGAGAAGAAGAUUGCCGGAGUAUACACCCGCCGCGGAUGGAUAAUGGUGUGUAGUAAUCACAUGAACAUGCAAGAUGAGGUCAACCAAGUAGUGAUACAUGAGCUAAUUCAUGCUGGAACAGAUUCGUGCUGGCCAUCUUAGUGGUGAUUGCCACUGUAAACGUGAAUUUUUGCUGUGCCAAGAAGAUUCGAGAAUUGUGAACAAAGAGGAGGCGACAGUAAAAAGAAAGAGAGAGAAGAGAACAGGGAAACAAGAGAAAGAAGA